rnacentral:sRNA from 1 species
CUAAACCGAUCCGUCCACACACGCGCCGUCACAGAUCACUGGGUGCCCGAGUGCUUGCACGCUGUGCGCAAAUCGGGUGGUCGUCUGGGGUGCGUGGAGGCCUAACC